rnacentral:rRNA from 1 species
UACGGAGGGUGCGAGCGUUGUCCGGAAUCAUUGGGCGUAAAGCGCGCGUAGGUGGCUUUGUAAGUCCGUUGUGAAAGUCAGAGGCUCAACCUUUGAAUGCCGAUGGAUACUGCAGAGCUAGAGUACGGAAGAGGCGAGUGGAAUUCCUGGUGUAGCGGUGGAAUGCGCAGAUAUCAGGAGGAACACCAAUAGCGAAGGCAGCUCGCUGGGACGUUACUGACACUAAGGCGCGAAAGCGUGGGGAGCGAACAGG